UGAUCAGCCACGCCCCGGUGAAUACGUUCCCGGGCCUUGUACACACCGCCCGUCACGCCAUGGGAGCUGUGAGCGCCCGAAGUCGGUGUCAGAACCCUCACGGGGCUAAGCCGCCGAAGGCGAGCGCAGUGACUGGGGCGAAGUCGUAACAAGGUAGCCGUAGGGGAACCUGCGGCUGGAUCACCUCCUUAACGGAUUGCGAGUAAGAUCGCCGCGCCGGCAAACCGGCCGGAUUGAUCGGAAAGCUCUUCGAUAGUCGCUUCGUCUCGACACAUUCCUUCCCAAUCUCGAUUGCAGCUGGAAACGCGGCGGCCG
rnacentral:misc_RNA from 1 species